CCCAGUCUGGAAAGUGAGGAGCGUCUCUGCCCGGCCGCCAUCCCAUCUAGGAAGUGAGGAGCAUCUCUGCCCGGCCGCCCAUCGUCUGAGAGAGUAUUCUAGCUGCCUCCGCCUUUGAGACAGAGCAGGAAGAACCUGUGGAUGGUGGGAUUCCCUCUUCUUGGAGAAGGGGAUGAGCAUUUCCCGCUGCCCUCCUGACACGCCCGUGGCUGUCUGCCUUGCUCUGUACCUCCAGACUUCAUGGAAAGCAUGCUCGACCUUUGACUUCUGGGUGGGUGACUUGGGGCACACCCAAGCAGGAGACCAGCCUGCAGAGAGGGGGCCUAUGUCACUCUGGCCACUCUGUGGUUGGGCUGGCUGUGGCCCACAGACCCUCUGCUCCCUCUGUGAGUCCCCUUGGGCCCCUUUCCUCUUUCCUAGGGUGUGAGUGUGGCACCCUUCAUGACACUCUUCCUAAUCACCCCAUAGGGUGUGCCGCUUCCUUCCUGCGGGAACUCUAACUGGCCCUGUGUAAUGAUCUUUUACACAGAGCUCGUAAAACUAACCCCUGGCCCUGAUGAGUCUUUGGAACAUGAGGCUUACCGGUGAUGAAUAACUCCCAGCAAUCACUGAAACAUCACAAGCUUCUGUCUCUGCUUCCCGCUCCACACCGCCCUCUGCUCUGCUUAGUCUGGUUCAUGUUUUGCAUUCACAUCAUUGCUAUUGUUGUUUUUUCUCCCGUUCCUCUGGACUCCUUUUUGUUGCCCAGCACUAACAAUCAUAAAACUUAUGUUCUAAAAUCAUAAAACUGCAAUGGAGAGCAAAGACAAAAAACAAAUGGUUUUAAGUUAGAGUUGUAACACUACAUAAUUUACUACCUCGGGAGGAUGGGAUGAGAAUUCUGGUCAAAUGAAAUUUCUCUGGUCUAUAAAUCUGCUAUUUCCAAUUGGUACUUUGGCUUUCCAAAAUGUUUAACAAACAGGACUUUGGGGGCUACAUGUUUUUCACAAACCUGUUUGGGAUAUAUUAGUUAUAGUUUUUGGCUACACAAGAAAGUAAGUCAAAAUUUAAUUUGUGCAAGAAUAAUAGACUUGUUUUUUUAAUGAUAAAUGAAAAGAAAAUUUGGAAGAGACUGUGUUUCCUCACAGAUUCUGCCACCUUGGGACUCCUAACCCUACCAAAAAAUCUAGAUGGGAUGAGGAAUUGUUUUCCAUAUUUUCAUGCAUUUUAGAACAAUUAUUUUUUAUUUUUAGUUUUAGCUCCACAAAUAUGACCAAUGAUAUUGCAUAUUAAAGUAAAAAUUUGAAAACAGCUAUGCAUCCACAGGUUAAAUUUUUAUUUCUGUGGUUUAAAUCUGAUUUCACCACAUUUUCCCCCAAUGAAAUGGAUGCUUGGUAAUGCAGUUAAAUAUCUGACUUUUCAGGAGCAUAAAAUAGCAGCUCUUCUUCCUGGGGAUGGGGCAGUGGCCACCCCAAGGUGUGGAGGGCUUUCCUGUGGAAGCAUCACAUGGACUCAUCAUCUGUGGCUCCAGUGGAGAAACCUGGAGUCAAUGGAUGUACGCUGGAGGGAGACCAACUUCAACUUCAUACGAGGAAACAUUUCUAAUAAUUAGGUUAGCGGAGGUACAAACUGCCUUGAAGGGCUGUGCUUUUUCUGCCUCUGAAAUUUCUUCAGGAAAGCCUGAGCUGUAUGCUGCAAAUGAGAAGCUUAACUUGUUAACCUCAAGCAAGGAUUAAAUUAAGUUCCAGUGACAUAUCACUGAUCUUCAUAUAGACCAAUGGAACAGAGCAGAGGCCUCAGAAAUAAUGCCACACAUCUGCAACUGUCUGAUCUUUGACAAACCUGACAAAAACAAGCAACUGGGAAAGGACUCCCUAUUUAAUAAAUGGUGCUGGGAAAACUGGCUAGCCAUAUGCAGAAAACUGAAACUGGAGCCCUUCCUUAUACCUUAUAUAAAAAUUAACUCAAGAUGGGUUAAAGACUUAAAUAUAACAUAAAACCAUAAAAACCCUAGAAGAAAACCUAGACAAUACCAUUCAGGACAUAGGCAUGGCCAAUGACUUCAUGACUAAAACAUGAAAAGCAAUGGCAAUGAAAGCCAAAAUUGACAAAUGGGAUCUAAUUAAACUAAAGAGCUUCUGCACAGCAAAAGAAACUAUCAUCAGAGUCAACAGGCAACCUACAUGGGAGAAAAUAUUUGCAAUCUAUCUAUUUGACAAAGGGCUAAUAUCUAGAAUUUACAAGGAACUUAAACAAAUUUACAAGAAAAAAACAACCCCAUCAAAAAGUGGGCAAAGGAUGUGAACAGCCACUUCUCAAAAGAAGACAUUUAUGCAGACAACAAACAUAUGUAAAAAAGCUCAUCAUCACUGGUCAUUAGAGAAAUGCAAAUCAAAACCACAAUGAGAUACCAUCUCGUGCCAGUUAGAAUGGCAAUCAUUAAAAAGUCAGGAAACAACAGAUGCUGGAGAGGAUGUGGAGAAAUAGGAACACUUUUACAUUGUUGGUGGGAGUGUAGAUUAGUUAAACCAUUGUGGAAGUCAGUGUGGCGAU
rnacentral:lncRNA from 10 species